rnacentral:SRP_RNA from 1 species
GGCUUGGGCUAGACUGGGGCGGCAGGCGUUCCCUGUAACCAGAAAUCGUCUAUACGCUGGAGUUGAAAGCCUAGGGGCGGCGUAACUUGUGGGUUAACGUCCCAUAAGUCUACUAGGAUAUCUCGCCUCACAGGAUCGAAGGCGAUAGGGUUCUUUUACCGGAGGGAAAGGGGCCUUAUCCCAAAUGUGGGCAACGGGUUAGGCACGGAAGUGAGCAGUCUUACCGCAUACUCUCGAUGCUUGGGAGAUAACGAGGUUGAGAAACCUUAUGGAUCAACGCUUUCUCAUGGGAGCGUCCACUUUAGGUGUGUUCAAGCC